CCCAGCAGUGGUGUAGUGGUAGCACGCCCUGUGCCUGGCCUUGUGCGUCUGCGGCAAAAGCGACGUGUGGUGGCGACCUACUGCUCUCUUGAAAAAGAUGAGAGAGCUACGGGAUGACCUAAGCGCCUCCAAGCAAGCCUUGAAAGGAAGCCCGGGUUCGAUUCCCGGCUCUGGGA